CUUUGUUGGAAGCUCUGGGGGGAAGAUGGCUCUUGAGGACUAUGGGAAUGAGGGUUGUUGUCGUCCUGAAGCCUGAGGGAGAAGCCGACAUGGAGGGAAGUGCACGUGACAGUUCAGAGAGAUUACAUGGAUUUUAGGGACCCCACAGCUAGAAGGAGGCAGAGCCAAAAUUCAAUGAAGAAUCUGUCUGACCCCAGGACACCUGCCGCUGCUUUCCAAAGCCUUUCCGGCCGCGGGUUCUCAGGCCACCGCACCAAGCCACGCUGUCCCUCUCGAAAGCGGCCGUUCCAGGCAAGGCAAAUCGAUACCGCGCUCAGCGAUUCAUCUUCAUUCGGACCACAUCCCCGCACCAGCCCCGGUGCUCUCCCCCGGCCUCCUCCUGAUGGGUUCCUGGAUGCUGACGAAUAGGAUUCUCGGCUGCGGCCACGCCGCGUUAGCAGAUUAAAUCGUUAAUAUCUGCAUCGGUCAUUUUUACGAGCCUCCCUUACCCCAAACGCGUCACCACCCUCGUGUUGAGUACACUGUUAG